rnacentral:tRNA from 1 species
UUCAUUUGGCAUUGUGUUUAUGGCAAAUAAAUACAAGAAAAAUUUGUAACGCCUCCUUCGAGCCGGAAUCGAACCAGCGACCUAAGGAUUCCUACAGAAGCACACACUACAGUCCUCCGCUCUACCAGCUGAGCUAUCGAAGGGCGCCGUUAACGUGUCUCUAGCACAGAAUUUUCUGCUCACUGUCGCGGUUACAUGUUUGUCUCGUCAGUACUGUUGCAUGAAUUUUUGUGUUGAUCUUAAGCCUCCCAAGAUUUCACUAUUGAAAUCUCAGGCCAAAGACAGCAGGGAAGAUUGCUGCCAGGUAUGAGAGUCCUUUAGGGGCUCAGCAGAUUUCUCAAACCCAGAGAACACCUCUCUUGUAAAUAGGAGAUCGUGGAAGGAUGAUGGUGACAUCAAUAGAACCAGAGAAGCAAAGAAGAGUGGAUUCUGAAGGGGAAAAUAAUCACUUCUGUUUUGGACACAGCCAAGGGAUCAUAUCGGAAGUUGCAGUCAAUAAGAAAGAUAGCGAGGCCAAACUAUUUGGAGUGAUUACUAGAUCAACCCAAUGGCAUCUACACACAGGAGGACCUGAAAGAAAUCCCCCAUUCACCUUUCUUCUAUUUGGACAUAAUCUCCAUAUUAUUGGAAAAUUUAUUUGGGAAUGAAAAAAUUAUGGUGUAUAACUAUAAUGAACUAAUAUAUUAUACUGUAAAGAAUGACAAAUAUGAAGAAUUCAGGGAAACAUGGAAGAUUUAAGAAGUCAUGUGAAGAAAGUAGAGGUAAACAAGUUACAUGAUUUUUCCUACAAAAUAAAUCAAGUCAACAAAGAGAAGCCA